rnacentral:rRNA from 1 species
GCGUGCCUAACACAUGCAAGUCGAACGGGAAUAGGAUGAAACCUAGUGAUUCCUAUUCUAGUGGUUGACGGGUGAGUAACGCGUGGGUAACCUGCCUUGCACUGGGGGAUAACACUUAGAAAUAGGUGCUAAUACCGCAUAAGCGCACAGAACCGUAUGGUUCGGUGUGAAAAACUCCGGUGGUGUAAGAUGGACCCGCGUCUGAUUAGCUGGUUGGUAAGGUAACGGCUUACCAAGGCAAUGAUGCAUAGCCGAGUUGAGAGACUGAUCGGCCACAUUGGGACUGAGACACGGCCCAAACUCCUACGGGAGGCAGCAGUAGGGAAUCUUCCACAAUGGACGAAAGUCUGAUGGAGCAACGCCGCGUGAGUGAAGAAGGGUUUCGGCUCGUAAAGCUCUGUUGGUAGUGAAGAAAGAUAGAGGUAGUAACUGGCCUUUAUUUGACGGUAAUUACUUAGAAAGUCACGGCUAACUACGUGCCAGCAGCCGCGGUAAUACGUAGGUGGCAAGCGUUGUCCGGAUUUAUUGGGCGUAAAGCGAGUGCAGGCGGUUCAAUAAGUCUGAUGUGAAAGCCUUCGGCUCAACCGGAGAAUUGCAUCAGAAACUGUUGAACUUGAGUGCAGAAGAGGAGAGGGGAACUCCAUGUGUAGCGGUGGAAUGCGUAGAUAUAUGGAAGAACACCAGUGGCGAAGGCGGCUCUCUGGUCUGCAACUGACGCUGAGGCUCGAAAGCAUGGGUAGCGAACAGGAUUAGAUACCCUGGUAGUCCAUGCCGUAAACGGUGAGUGCUAAGUGUUGGGAGGUUUCCGCCUCUCAGUGCUGCAGCUAACGCAUUAAGCACUCUGCCUGGGGAGUACGACCGCAAGGUUGAAACUCAAAGGAAUUGACGGGGGCCCGCACAAGCGGUGGAGCAUGUGGUUUAAUUCGAAGCAACGCGAAGAACCUUACCAGGUCUUGACAUCCAGUGCAAACCUAAGAGAUUAGGUGUUCCCUUCGGGGACGCUGAGACAGGUGGUGCAUGGCUGUCGUCAGCUCGUGUCGUGAGAUGUUGGGUUAAGUCCCGCAACGAGCGCAACCCUUGUCAUUAGUUGCCAUCAUUAAGUUGGGCACUCUAAUGAGACUGCCGGUGACAAACCGGAGGAAGGUGGGAUGACGUCAAGUCAUCAUGCCCCUUAUGCCCUGGGCUGCACACGUGCUACAAUGGCCGGCACAGCGGGCCGCGACUGCGCGAGCAGGAGCGAAUCCCCCAAAGCCGGUCCCAGUUCGGAUCGCAGGCUGCAACCCGCCUGCGUGAAGCCGGAGUUGCUAGUAAUCGCGGAUCAGCAUGCCGCGGUGAAUACGUUCCCGGGCCUUGUACACACAGC